AACAGCCCCCACCCUCUCAUUCCUUCCAACAUCCUGUGUCUUUCAUUCCUCUCAAGAAAAAAAUCAAGAAGGCUCCCCAUUUUCUACUUCUAGGGUUUUGGUUCUAGGGUUCAAUCAAGUUUUUGGAGCACGAUUCAAUCUUAAAUCCAUCUCUCACACAAGUGUUUGAAGCUCUCUCAAUCCAUGGUUUAAACCUAAAAGAGGAUUCGGUGAACAAGAGAAGGAUAUAAGGGACACAAGUUGAUGUUUACUUGAAGUGCAAAGGAAUGUGAUGAAGUACAAUAGCUUAUAGGUGCAAUGUUUUGUGCAAGUUUGGGCUUCAUGGAAUCGUUUUGCAUAUAGAAUGGAAGUAGAAAGAAGACUUGUAUUUUUGGACGUGUUUGUACUUGUUUCCCUUAUGAUCAAGGGUGUAUAUAUUUUUGCAAAGUGAUGUACAUAAGUUAUGUAUGUUAUGGAUGUUCAUGCUAAUGUAAUUAUGAUAUCAUGAAAAUUAUCAAUGUAUGGAUGCUCUAGACCAAAUGGGUUGUGCUCA